CCUGACUCAGCCGCAGACAUUAGUGCUAGGAAGAUGGCGCACCCGGCGAUGUUUCCUAGAAGGGGCAGCAGCAGUAGCAGCGGCAGCAGCUGCGUUACUGCUCCCACUGCACCAGGUACCGGCGUCGGGAGCGCUGCCCUCUCUGCCGAGGAUUAUCAGCCGCCCUUGCUGGUCCAGCCGCCGCCUCCAUCUCCUGCAGCAUCUUCGUCGGCGGGUCCACAGCCGACACCCCCUCCUCCACAAAGCCUGAACCUCCUCUCGCAGUCUCAGCUCCAGCCACAGCCUCUCACGCAGACUGGAGCUCAAAUGAAAAAGAAAAGUGGCUUCCAGAUUACCAGCGUGACCCCUGCUCAAAUAUCGGCUAGCAUGAGCUCUAAUAACAGCAUAGCCGAAGAUACCGAAAGCUACGAUGACCUGGAUGAGUCCCACACUGAAGACCUGUCCUCUUCAGAAAUCUUGGAUGUUUCUUUAUCCAGGGCUACUGACUUAGGAGAACCUGAGAGGAGCUCCUCUGAAGAGACUUUAAAUAACUUCCAAGAGGCAGAGACUCCUGGGGCUGUUUCUCCAAACCAGCCUCACCUUCCUCAGCAGCACCCUUCUCUGCCUCAUCAUCCACAGCAGGGCGUUGUGAUCAAUGGAAGUGUUCACCCCCAUCAUGUUCACCACCACCAUCAUCUUCACCACCACCACCACGGACACCAUCAUCCAUCGCAUCCUGGGGUGGGCAGUACCCCGAUUUCUGGAGGACCACCACCCAGUCCAUCGUUUAGAAAACUAUCAACAACUGGAAGCUCUGACAAUGUUAUAUCAACUGCACCGGGUUCUGCUGCAUCAUCCACUGGUUCCCCCGCAUCUGUCGCGUCUAAUAUCCGCACUACGAGCACUCCUGGCAAUUUAGGUGUAAGUCCUGCUUCUGGAACUAGUACCUUAAAUAAUAUGGGCGGUGGUAGCUCUAGUGUGGCAAGCAGCAUGCUUGGUACUAUAAAUUUAAGCAACAUCACAAGUACUGGUAAUGUAAAUGCUUUGCCUGGAACUAGCAGCAAUGUUAAUGUGAAUAUCUUGAGUGGUGUUGGCAAUGGUACGAGUGCUUCCUCUAGUGUCAUUAACAACGUUACUAAUCCAACUGCAGGAAUGGCAGUGGGAUCAAGCCAGCAGCAGCCUGCAUCUGGCACAUCAAGGUUUAGAGUUGUAAAAUUAGAUUCUAGUUCCGAACCUUUCAAAAAAGGUAGAUGGACAUGCACUGAAUUCUAUGAUAAAGAAAGCACUGCUGCAGUUUCAGAAGGAGUAGCAGUAAACAAAGCAGUAGAGACGAUAAAACAAAACCCGCUUGAAGUGACUUCUGAAAGGGAGAGCACCAGUGGGAGUUCUGUUAGCAGCAAUGUAAGCACACUGAGUCACUAUACAGAAAGUGUGGGAAGUGGAGAAAUGGGAGCACCUACUGUGGUACAGCAGCAAGCGUUUCAAGGUGUGGGUCCACAGCAGAUGGAUUUUAGCAGCGCUGCUCCUCCGGCAAUUCCAGCAUCUAGUAUACCACAGAGUGUUUCUCAAUCACAGCUUGCACAAGUCCAGCUGCAUUCUCAAGAGGUAAACUAUCCGCAGCAGAAGCCAGGGGUCCAGCCUCCUGCACAGGCCAGUCUAACCACUGUUCCUGGGGUUCAGCCAGCCCCGGUUAAUAUCCUAGGAGUAACCCCGUCUCUGGGCCACCAGCAGCCUGCCAUUCAGAGCAUGGCUCAGCAGCAGCUGCCGUACCCUCAGCCGGCGCAGCCCGUGCAGACGUUGCCGGUUGUACAACAGCAGCAGUUGCAGUACGGACAGCAGCAGCAGCAACAAACGGUUCCUACGCAGAUGGCCGCAGGUCACGUUAAGCCGGUGAACCAAAACUCUGUUACAGGGGCCAUGCCGGAGUACAUCCAGCAUCAGCAGAUCCUCCAGCCCCCGGCGCCUGCUAUGCAGCCCAGUUCUGCCGCAGUAGGAGCGGGGCCGCCGGUUCCUGUCGCCCAGGCCCAGAGCAUGCAGCCUGCGGUACAAGCACACCCCGCUGCUGCCCCAGCUCAGCCUGUCGCGCACGCUCCAGCAGCCCUACCAGGCGUAGGUACCGGCGGCCAAAUGCUGAGCGUCGGGCAGCAAGGAAGCGUAGCCGCUGUGGUGCAACCACCGCCUGCUGCAAACCAAAUCCCACCUCCGGUCAUGCCGUCGACAGCUGCUCCUCCAUCUUCACAAGUGGUGCAGCCUGUGCAGACAGGAAUAAUGCAGCAGGGGUUACAGGCCGGCGCUUCGGGCCUUCCCCAGCAAAUGGUCAUUGCUCAACAAAACGCUUUGUUACCUGUGCAGCCGCAGGCGCAAGCGGUGGAGUCGGUGGUCCAAGGAAUGACCGGCCAGCAGCUGCCUGCAGUUAGCCCUAUACCUUCUGCUAGUACUGUUCCUGCACCGAGUCAAGCUGGUUCAGCUGUGCCUCCUGGCAUACCUUCUGCCUCUAUAGGUUUGGGACAGCCACAGAACAUAGCGCAGGCUUCGGCUGUGCAGAACGGGAAUUUGGCUCCGAGUGUUAGUCAGCCUCCGUUGAUAUCAACAAGUAUAGGUAUGCCGGUGGCACAGAGUGUGCCGCAGCAGAUACCGCUAAGCUCUGCCCAGUUCCCCGCACAAUCACUAGCUCAGUCAGUCGGAAGCCAAAUCGAAGAUGGCAGACGCCCCACAGAACCUUCCCUCGUUGGUUUACCUCAAGCUGCCAGUGGCGAGAGCGGCGUCGGAGCGCCAGCCGUCUCCGACGGCACUAGCAGCAGCGCGCCAUCCUCUGCUUCCCUCUUCCCGCUGAAGGUGCUGCCGCUGACGACGCCCCUCGUAGAUGGUGAGGAUGAGAGAAGCAGACAUACCAGGGCCUUCCUGACCUCAUCUUUAUCUGAAGAUCAUCUACAUAUGCUGUUCUUGUCAUCAGAGCCAGACUUUUUCCCUGCUCCAACUAGAUGGAUCCCAUCACAGCCUGCACUUGAGGUUUUGUGUUGGAUCUUUGUCUCCUCUACAGAACUGCUACAUGAAUAGAAUAUGACCAAGUAAUCUUCUCCACACCCACUGAAGCCUGAAUAGGUGAUUUCAUAACGGGCAGUAUGGUCUGGAGUCUUUUUUUUCCAGUGAAUAGGAUCUUUCCCUCGUUAUAGAGGACAUCUCAAAGGCAGCCUUUUCUUAAUAUUACAGAGACACUAGACAAAUUGCUGUUUGAAAGCAAUCUAUACUAAGCUGGGUCUCACUGCUUCAUCUGGGUUGAUUUGCUCUGAUACGUUCUAUUGCUUUGAGCUGAGAAGGAAUAUCAGCUGAGGAAGUGUUUAAUAGCAUUUUAGGCAUCGACACCUAUCACCUGAAACUAAGCAUGGAAUGCUGUGUAUGGCAUUGUGGUUGUGUGAUAGGUAUUGUCAAGUAAGCAGGUAUUAUCAGGUAGCAGGUACUGGUAGCUGAAAAGUUGCAGAGUCGAGAGUAUUUGCAAAUUAUCUAAUAAGAAAGAACUUUAUAAUCACAAGGGUACCUGAGAAGAUACAUGCUUCUAGUUGUAUUGUCCUUUUGUGAUCAUUUUUUAGCCAGCUAGUAGAUAUCAGCAGAAAUUCUUUCCUUGAACACAUCCUGUUUCUUAUAUUUUUUUUCUUUUAUCUUGUAUCAUCUGCCUUACUGGAAGUGGAGAACAUAAACAUCAUCCCAGAGACAUCUAAUGGCCAAUUACAUUUAUGUAUGUUUUGGUCAGUUCUUUGCAUACAGAAAGACCCUUUUUCAUAGAAACAGGCAUGCGGGAUGAAAAGACUCGACCUGAAUCCCUAACCUUUUGAGUUGAUAUUAAAUAAUCAAAAAGUCAGUAUUUUGUCAAAUUGAAAAGUAUAGAAACACAUCUUGGUCUCAUGAUGUUCAGAGGAAAAUAUCUAAGCAAAUGUCAUGAAAUUCCACUAAAGGAUGGCUAAUCUUCAUUUUUUUCUAUAAAAUAGUCUGUUUAGAGCAAAACCUUAUACCUUAAAUUGAAGUUUGUUUGUCCUCAGGAAUCAAGAGGCUGAACAUCUUUUUGUGUCUUUGGAACUGAUUUGCUGAUUUUUUUUUUUUGUUUCAAUUAGUGCAGGAUGUCAGGUCCUGUUACUGAUGGCUUUCAGUCAUCUGUGUAAAAAACAUACGAAGCGUUCCUGUUUUACCCUAACAGCAAAAGUUAAAGGUGCCUUUUUAACAAUGUAUUAUUGCAGUGGUUUGAAUGAUGAAACUUAGGUUUCAUUCCAGCUUCUCUCUGUUACCUGGAGCAGCAUCAAGUGAGGAUGGGAAAGCUUAUAACUGAAGGACACUCAAGAUACCGAACUAUACAAAGUGUUUUUGUUAGGUGUAGGGUCUAAAGGAGAGAAUGGAGGGAGAAAGCCACCAAAACUGCCCCCAAAUUAAUUAUAGGAGAAAUUGCAUCAAAUGCAUCUUCUUGGUUAACUAUUGGACUGCUUUACCUGCUGCCCUGAGAGCGCUGCUGAGAAAAUGGUAACAUCUCAUCUGAGGUAUACGGAUCAACAGCUACCCAUAUGCAAAUACCAGACUGCUGCUGUUGUGCAGAAGUUACUGCAGUGGGUAAUAGCCAGUAAACAUGUACACGACUAUAUGUAUAAUUGUGCUUUAAGUCCCAUUCUGUACUGUUCUGUUGGAUGCUGGCUCCUUGCUACUGAUAAAAACUUCACUGGAGUCUGUCAGUCUUCAGAAUUCUUGAAGAGGAAAAUUUCUGCUCUUGUGCAUUGAUAGUUUGUAUUAAAAUAAGUUAAAAAACAACUCCUAGAUUCUCAGGAGAAAAAAAAUAAGAGGAAAUAUUCUACAAAUCCAGAAGCCCAGUCAGUAACUUGAAUAGUUUCUCAGCUUUCCACAGCUAUAUCCUAAUGUGUCUACGUUGAGACAGGAGAGUUAAACUGCUGUCAGUGUUUGAUCGAUCUGAUUUUGCAAAAGGAUAGAGAACUUGAGAUUGGAAUAAGGCCUUUUACAGAGGAGCUGGAAGUAAAGAGUUAGGGAGUCAUUGGUAAGGGAAACAUUCAGGUAAGUAUAAUUUCUUCUUAAAGAGACUUCCUGUCUGUGAUCAUGGGGAGUUGUUCACUGCAUUGCAAUAGAUGCCAUUUUUAAUUCUCUUGAGUGAACAGAGGAGAAAUUUGGAUUUUUUUUUUUUCCCCCCCCCAGAAAUAAAAUCACAUUUUUUUCCCCACCUACAUCUCCUUGUAACAAACUGAGAGAACUUUCUGGACAAAGCAUCUUAUUGAUCUCAUCUAUUGGUAGAUGUCUUAACAGUCUCGAAAGUUCACAGUUCAACACCUUGGGUUUUUUUUUUUGCAUCAGAGCAUGAAAAAACUGCAUGUCUAGUACUCAUCUCUUGUCAUCCUCCCCUAUUACAGUGACUAUGUGUAUGUCUCUGUGUGGCCGAAAAUGAGGGAAUGCUGAUCAUUUUCCAAGAAGUUACCAACUAGCACUUUUCCUUCCCCUCCAGUCUUUCUGCCUCCCUACCCUGGAAGUAUGGAGUCCCUGCCUCAGCCUACGGCUUCAUUCUUUUUCCAGCUGCCCACAAAAGUAAAGAACCAGUGUGAAAGUUUGAAGAAAGAAUCCGCUCAGAGGACUGAGUCUCAAGCAAAAGCUCCAGGUUGCAGACUCAGAAAGAAACUUCCUUUGGGGAAGGAUCUGCUUCCAGGAUUUGCUCGUCUCUUUUUCCUUGGGCAAACAGAGUUCUUGAAGCAAACAACAGGGUUGCAGAGGAGUCUGUGGCUGCUGGGUUUGUCCUGUUUCUUUCUCCAUGUGAAGGAAACUGACUGGAAUGCUCUGAGAAAGGAAGGGGAUGUGCUGCUAAGCCACUCAAUCAGCAGUUCCUAAGGCCCAGAUAUGGGCUAUCAGUCCAGUCAGUUCAGGACACCUUCUAACCUUUAUACUGCGUCACAAGCCUUCAGCAGAAGAUCUUGAGAACCAUUUAUGUUGCUGGAAGAUGACUGGGUUUGGAUCUUGGCCUUCCUUAAGCAGGAUCUGCUGGCAAAAAUGGGAUUGGGAAAGAAAUGACUCCUUUUCCAUCACACAGAGCCACCCUAGAUAUGGAAGUGUAGGCAGAGAAUUACUUCUAACAGGGGAUUCCUUAGGAAACUUGUUUGGCCUCCCAUGGUCCUGUUGUUACAAUGUCAUAAAGCUGUUUUAU